AACGAACGCUGGCGGCAUGCCUAACACAUGCAAGUCGAACGAUCCCUUCGGGGAUAGUGGCGCACGGGUGCGUAACGCGUGGGAACCUGCCCUUAGGUUCGGAAUAACUCAGAGAAAUUUGAGCUAAUACCGGAUAAUGUCUUCGGACCAAAGAUUUAUCGCCUUUGGAUGGGCCCGCGUUGGAUUAGCUAGUUGGUGGGGUAAAGGCCUACCAAGGCGACGAUCCAUAGCUGGUCUGAGAGGAUGAUCAGCCACACUGGGACUGAGACACGGCCCAGACUCCUACGGGAGGCAGCAGUGGGGAAUAUUGGAAAAUGGGCGAAAGCCUGAUCCAGCAAUGCCGCGUGAGUGAUGAAGGCCUUAGGGUUGUAAAGCUCUUUUACCCGGGAUGAUAAUGACAGUACCGGGAGAAUGAGCCCCGGCUAACUCCGUG
rnacentral:rRNA from 1 species